ACAAUCAUCAUUACAAAUGUUCAUAAAUGCUGAUGUGGAUAGGAAAGAAAGAAAAUGUGGAUUGUAAAACCCUUCUGUGAUGGCUGCCCUUUGCCUGUUUUAGUGCUUCCUUGUCUUCAGUUUUCAAAAGGACUGCUUGUUCGAGGAAUGUGUUGGAGACUGAAAUACUGGGAUUAACAUAAGAAGGAAUGUUAAGGAAGAAGGUCUCUGUGAUCCAUUGGGCAUUGGGUAAAGGAGGAAACAGAGGUCACAGUAGGUUCCCUGCUGUAGAGCUAGAGAUGAGACUGGAUGAAUUAGAGACAGGAACCUAGCUUAUCUGUCUCCUGAGAGAAUUAAUACUGGAGCAGAUGGAUGCAGAUGUGGAAACCCAGAGCAAAGCAUCAGGCAGAGUCUUGUGAAUGAGUAGGAGAUAGAAGUGAGCUCAUCAGAAGAGUCAAGGACACCACAAAAUCAGAUAGAACAUGGUGUUCACACAUUACCAAGGCCACAACGAAUAUGCUGAAUUGUGUAUCUCUGUUCCAAUAAAUACAUCUGUAA